rnacentral:rRNA from 1 species
ACNUGCAGUUGACGGGNUCAGUUGUAGCAAUACGACUGUGAGAGUAGCGCACGGGUGCGUAACACGUAUGGAAUCUGCCCCUAUCUGUGGAAUAGCCCCUCGAAAGAGGGAUUAAUACCACAUAAUAUAAUGAGUAGGCAUCUAUUUAUUAUCAAAGCUCAGGCGGAUAGGGAUGACCAUGCGGCUGAUUAGCUAGUUGGUGAGGUAAUGGCUCACCAAGGCUACGAUCAGUAGGGGGUCUGAGAGGAUGUCCCCCCACACUGGUACUGAGACACGGACCAGACUCCUACGGGAGGCAGCAGUAGGGAAUAUUGGUCAAUGGGCGCAAGCCUGAACCAGCCAUGCCGCGUGCAGGAUUAAGGCCCUAUGGGUCGUAAACUGCUUUUGUACGGGAAGAAACCUCAUUACGUGUAAUGAGUUGACGGUACCGUGAGAAUAAGGAUCGGCUAACUUCGUGCCAGCAGCCGCGGUAAUACGAAGGAUCCAAGCGUUGUCCGGAUUUACUGGGUUUAAAGGGUGUGUAGGUGGAUGAUUAAGUCAGUGGUGAAAGCUUGCAGCUUAACUGUAAAAUUGCCAUUGAAACUGAUCGUCUUGAAUAUGGUUGAGGUGGUUGGAAUGUUGCAUGUANCGGUGAAAUGCUUAGAUAUGCAACAGANCACCGUUUGCNAAGGCANAUCACUAAACCAUUAUUGACACUGANGCACGAAAGCGUGNGGAUNNAACAGGAUUANNUNNCCUG